AUGGCGAUCCAUUCCGGGCAUUUCGGUUUGGUUGCGGAACGUCAUAGAAAACGGCUACACGCUUCAGUUUCGACGCAGACCACCCCGGUUCAAUGGCGUGGUCAUGUCGACGGUUCCGGCUCACAACGAGCUGGUUCUGAGGCAAGAAAUUCUCAAUCUCCUCGCGAAACGCGCGAUAGAAGUGGUCCCGCCGAGCGAGAGAGAGAGCGGGUUUUACAGCCGGUACUUUGUCGUUCCCAAGAAAGGUGGUGGUCUCCGUCCAAUAUUAGACCUGAGACCCAUCAACCGUGCGUUGUACAAACGCGCUUUCAAAAUGACAACGCUAAAGCAGAUACUGGCACAGAUUCGACCCGGAGAUUGGUUUGUUUCAGUGGACCUGAAAGACGCAUAUUUUCAUAUCCAGAUCGCCCCUCGUCACAGGCGCUUUCUGAGAUUUGCGUUCGAAGGCAUAGCAUAUCAGUUCAUGGUCAUGCCGUUCGGGUUAGGGCUGGCGCCUCGUACGUUUACGAAAUGUGUGGAUGCAGCACUUUCCCCUCUGAGAGCGAGCGGAAUGCGCAUACUGAACUAUUUGGACGAUUGGCUGAUCUUGGCACAUUCAGAGGAUGUGCUCAACAGCCACAAACACGCUCUGUUACGUCACCUGGAGAGUUUGGGUCUCUGUGUGAACGUACAAAAAAGCGUGUUACGCCCCAGCCAAACAAUCAUGUAUCUAGGGGUGCAGUUGGACUCGAUAACAAUGAGGGCGCGUCUGAGCCAGGAGCGCAUACAAGAUUUAAUGUCCGCUCUGAACGCAUUCAGACUGGGCCGUCCCGUAGCACUGAAGGAAUAUCAGAGGCUCUUGGGGCGGAUGGCGGCGGCCGCGACGGUCUGUCACCUCGGUCUACUCUAUAUGCGCCCACUCCAGUUAUGGCUGAAAACACAAGUACCGAGAAGGGCGUGGAAAUUGGGCCGUGCCCGCAUUGUGGUCACUCGCAGGUGCUUAAGCGCGCUGAAACCAUGGCAGAACCCCGACUUGUACCAGCGCGGCGUCCAGAUGGGUCUGGUCACGCGGCGGAAAGUGGUCACGACGGACGCGUCGACGACGGGCUGGGGAGCUCACUGCGAUGGCUUACCGGCUUCGGGCCACUGGACAGAGUCGGAGAGAACGUGGCACAUAAAUCGCCUCGAGCUGAGAGCGGUUUCUUUAGCCCUUCAGAGUUUUAUGACGCAAAUCAGGGGGCACCACGUGUUGAUUCGCUCAGACAACAUGACGGUGGUAUCGUACAUAAACCGCCAGGGCGGAGUACACUCGAAAGCCCUGUACAGUCAGGCAGCACGCCUUUUGCUGUGGGCCGAUCAUCAUCUGCUCUCCAUUCGAGCAGCGCACGUUCCGGGAUGCCUGAACAGUGGCGCGGAUAUGCUGUCAAGGAACGGGAUUCCUCACGGAGAAUGGAGACUGAACCCUGGGACAGUGAGACUGAUCUGGGAACAGUUUGGGAAAGCGGAGGUGGACCUGUUCGCGACAGAGGAGAACACGCAUUGCCCUCUGUUCUUCUCGCUGUCGCGCUCUCCCCUGGGCGGGGAUGCACUCACAAUGCCGUGGCCGAAUGCCCGUCUGUAUGCAUUCCCCCCGCUAAAGAUUUUGUCACAAGUGCUGCACAAAAUCAGAGAGGAGAAAGCGUCAGUGUUAUUAGUCGCUCCGUACUGGCCGAACAGGCCUUGGUUUCCCGAUCUUCUAGAAAUACUAACGGCUCCCCCGUGGCCGAUCCCGCUGAGACGAGAUCUCCUGUCUCAGGCAGACGGCUCGAUAUGGCACCCCAACCCAGAAUGGUGGAAACUUCAGGUGUGGAUGGUGUGCGGGAACCGGUAAACCUGGGUUCGUUGUCUCACCGCGUGAUGUACACGAUUGCGGAGGCGCGAGCCCCUUCUACGAGACGCCUGUACGCUUGUAAAUGGGCAGUCUUUGAGAGGUGGUGCGAAUCGAAUGGUCGGGACCCAGAAAGCUGCCCCGUGUCUGACAUUCUGGAUUUUCUGCAACAACGAAUGGACGGCGGCAGUAUGCCCUCUACGCUUAAGGUUUACGUUGCAACUAUCUAA
ensembl:lncRNA